GACGUAGGGCGCGAGCGUUGUCCGGAUUUAUUGGGCGUAAAGAGCUCGUAGGCGGCUUGUCGCGUCGUCCGUGAAAACCUGCAGCUCAACUGCAGGCUUGCGGUCGAUACGGGCAGGCUGGAGUUCGGUAGGGGAGACUGGAAUUCCUGGUGUAGCGGUGAAAUGCGCAGAUAUCAGGAAGAACACCGAUGGCGAAGGCAGCUCGCUGGGACGGUACUGACGCUGAGGCGCGAAAGCGUGGGGAGCGAACAGG
rnacentral:rRNA from 1 species